CAUGCCUGCCCAGUGACACCAGUUUAACGGCCGCGGUAUUCUGACCGUGCAAAGGUAGCAUAAUCACUUGUUCUCCAAAUAAGGACUUGUAUGAAUGGCCACACGAGGGUUUUACUGUCUCUUACUUCCAAUCAGUGAAAUUGACCUUCCCGUGAAGAGGCGGGAAUAAAAAAAUAAGACGAGAAGACCCUAUGGAGCUUUAAUUAACUAUUCCAAAAGUUAAACAAUUCAACCACAAAGGGAUAAAACAUAACUUAACAUGGACUAGCAAUUUCGGUUGGGGUGACCUCGGAGUACAAAAAACCCUCCGAGUGAUUUUAAUCUAGACAAACCAGUCAAAAUAACCAUAACAUCACUUAUUGAUCCAAAACUUUGAUCAACGGAACAAGUUACCCUAGGGAUAACAGCGCAAUCCUAUUCUAGAGUUCCUAUCGACAAUAGGGUUUACGACCUCGAUGUUGGAUCAGGACACCCAAAUGGUGCAACCGCUAUUA
rnacentral:rRNA from 1 species